GUGAGGAAUAUUGCGCAAUGGAGGCAACUCUGACGCAGCCAUGCCGCGUGCAGGAAGAAGGCGCUACGCGUUGUAAACUGCUUUUAACCGGGAAGAAACCCCAGGACGUGUCCUGGGUUGACGGUACCGGAGGAAUAAGCACCGGCUAACUUCGUGCCAGCAGCCGCGGUAAUACGAAGGGUGCAAGCGUUAUCCGGAUUCAUUGGGUUUAAAGGGUGCGUAGGCGGAGCGUUAAGUCAGUGGUGAAAUCCUGCAGCUUAACUGUAGACUUGCCAUUGAUACUGGCGCGCUUGAGUGCGCUUGAAGUGGGCGGAAUGUGCCGUGUAGCGGUGAAAUGCUUAGAUAUGGCACAGAACACCAAUUGCGAAGGCAGCUCACUAAGGCGAUACUGACGCUGAGGCACGAAAGCGUGGGGAUCGAACAGGAUUAGAUACCCGGGUAGUCC
rnacentral:rRNA from 1 species